rnacentral:rRNA from 1 species
GAUGAACGCUGGCGGCGUGCCUAAUACAUGCAAGUCGAGCGAACGGACGAGAAGCUUGCUUCUCUGAUGUUAGCGGCGGACGGGUGAGUAACACGUGGAUAACCUACCUAUAAGACUGGGAUAACUUCGGGAAACCGGAGCCAAUACCGGAUGAUAUUUUGAACCGCAUGGUUCAAAAGUGAAAGACGGUCUUGCUGUCACUUAUUGAUGGAUCCGCGCUGCAUUAGCUAGUUGGUAAGGUAAUGGCUUACCAAGGCAACGAUGCAUAGCCGACCUGAGAGGGUGAUCGGCCACACUGGAACUGAGACACGGUCCAGACUCCUACGGGAGGCAGCAGUAGGGAAUCUUCCGCAAUGGGCGAAAGCCUGACGGAGCAACGCCGCGUGAGUGAUGAAGGUCUUCGGAUCGUAAAACUCUGUUAUUAGGGAAGAACAUAUGUGUAAGUAACUGUGCACAUCGUGACGGUACCUAAUCAGAAAGCCACGGCUAACUACGUG